GAAAUGAUGAGACGGACGGAUGGCACCAGAGUAGCACCGGACACGUGAAACCCGGUGUGAAGCAGGGAGGACCGCCUCCCAAGGCUAAAUACUACCUGUUGACCGAUAGAGAACAGUACCGUGAGGGAAAGGUGAAAAGAACCCCGGGAGGGGAGUGAAACAGAACCUGAAACCUUAUGCUUACAAGCAGAGGGAGCGCAAGUGACCUCGUACUUUUUGUAGAACGGGCCAACGAGUUGCGGUAUAUGGCAAGGUUAAGGUGUUAAGCACCGGAGCCGUAGCGAAAGCGAGUCUUAAAAGGGCCAGAGUCGUAUGCUGCAGACCCGAAACCGGGUGACCUAUCCAUGUGCAGGUUGAAGCGGGAGUAAAAUCUCGUGGAGGACCGAACCCAUAUCCGUUGAAAAGGGUUGGGAUGACGUGUGGAUAGCGGUGAAAUUCCAAUCGAACUCGGAGAUAGCUGGUUCUCCUCGAAAUAGCUUUAGGGCUAGCCUCGGAAUGAGAUACGCGGAGGUAGAGCACUGAAUAUCCUAGGGGCCUUCACCGGCUACCGAAGAUUAUCAAACUCCGAAUGCCGCAGUAUCAUGUCCGGGAGUCAGACUAUGUGAGAUAAGUUUCAUAGUCGAAAGGGAAACAGCCCAGACCAACAGCUAAGGUCCCCAAAUGUAAGUUAAGUGGAAAAGGAUGUGGAGCUGCAUAGACAACUAGGAUGUUGGCUUAGAAGCAGCCACUCAUUUAAAGAGUGCGUAAUAGCUCACUAGUCGAGUGACUCUGCGCCGAAGAUAAACGGGGCUGAAACCUGACACCGAAGCUUUGGAUACAUUAUGUAUGGUAGAGGAGCAUCGUAUACGGGCAGAAGCGUGACCGUAAGGGAGCGUGGACUGUAUACGAGAGAGAAUGUUGGCAUGAGUAGCGAGAGGCAGGUGAGAAUCCUGCCCGCCGAAAAUCUGAGGAUUCCUGAGGAAGGUUCGUCCGCUCAGGGUAAGUCGGGACCUAAGCCGAGAACGAAAGUUGUAGGCGAUGGACAACAGGUUGAGAUUCCUGUACCACCGAGGAUCAUUUGAAUGAAGUGGGGACGCAGGAGGAUAGGCUGAGCGCGCCGUUGGUGGAGCGCGUCCAAGCACGGAGGGAGUUGACCAGGCAAAUCCGGUCAGCGAGUUCCUGACGUGUGAUGGGGAGGGAAAACAAGUACCGAAGCAGCUGAUUUCACACUGCCAAGAAAAGCCGCUGGUGAGAUCCAAGGUGCCCGUACCGCAAACCGACACAGGUAGAUGAGGAGAGAAUCCUAAGGCGAGCGAGAGAACUAUUGUUAAGGAACUCGGCAAAAUGACCCCGUAACUUAGGGAGAAGGGGUGCUGCAGAAAUGCAGCCGCAGUGAAGAGGCCCAGGCGACUGUUUACCAAAAACACAGGUCUCUGCGAAAGCGAAAGCUGAAGUAUAGGGGCUGACGCCUGCCCGGUGCUGGAAGGUUAAGGGGAAGUGUCAGGGCGACCGAAGCACAGAACUUAAGCCCCAGUAAACGGCGGCCGUAACUAUAACGGUCCUAAGGUAGCGAAAUUCCUUGUCGGGUAAGUUCCGACCC
rnacentral:rRNA from 1 species